GCUCCGGUGGUGUAGUCCGGUCAAGCAUUGUGGCCUUUCAAGUCGCAGAUCCCGGGUUCAAAUCCCGGCCGGAGCA
rnacentral:tRNA from 1 species